rnacentral:tRNA from 4 species
CCGAUGUAGCUCAGCUGGCUAGAGCAGCUGAUUUGUAAUCAGCAGGUCGGGGGUUCGAGUCCCUCCAUCGG